UACGAAGGGGGCUAGCGUUGUUCGGAAUUACUGGGCGUAAAGCGCACGUAGGCGGACAUUUAAGUCAGGGGUGAAAUUCCGGAGCUCAACUCCGGAACUGCCUUUGAUACUGGGUGUCUUGAGUGUGGAAGAGGUGAGUGGAAUUCCGAGUGUAGAGGUGAAAUUCGUAGAUAUUCGGAGGAACACCAGUGGCGAAGGCGGCUCACUGGCUCAUUACUGACGCUCAGGCGCGAUAGCGUGGGGAUCAAACAGG
rnacentral:rRNA from 1 species